GACGAACGCUGGCGGCGUGCUUAACACAUGCAAGUCGAACGGUGAAGCGCCUUCCUUUUUGGUGGGUGUGGAUGAGUGGCGAACUGGUGAGUAACACGUGAGUAACCUGCCCCCUUCUUCUGGAUAACCGCAUGAAAGUGUGGCUAAUACGGGAUAUUCUGGGUCUGUCGCAUGAUGGGUCUGGGAAAGAUAUUGUUUCGGUGGGGGAUGGGCUCGCGGCCUAUCAGCUUGUUGGUGGGGUGAUGGCCUACCAAGGCGGUGACGGGUAGCCGGCUUGAGAGGGUGGACGGUCACACUGGGACUGAGACACGGCCCAGACUCCUACGGGAGGCAGCAGUGGGGAAUAUUGCACAAUGGGCGCAAGCCUGAUGCAGCGACGCCGCGUGAGGGAUGGAGGCCUUCGGGUUGUGAACCUCUUUCGCCAGUGAAGCAGGCCUGCCUCGUUUGUGGGUGGGUUGACGGUAGCUGGAUAAGAAGCGCCGGCUAACUACGUG
rnacentral:rRNA from 1 species